rnacentral:misc_RNA from 1 species
UACGAGUGCCUCAAGCGUUACCCGGAUUCACUGGGCGUAAAGGGUGUGUAGGCGGUUAUGUUAGUCCGUUGUUAAAGCCUUGGGCUCAACCCAAGGACUGCGUCGGAAACGGCAUAACUCGAGGAUGCGAGGGGUGUACGGAACUCACGGUGUAGGGGUGAAAUCCGUUGAUAUCGUGGGGAACACCAAAAGCGGAGGCAGUACACUGGCGCAUUCCUGACGCUGAGACACGAAAGCGUGGGUAGCGAACGGG